UAUCUCUGUAGAGUCUGCAUAUCAAUAAGCGGAGGAAAAGAAACUAACUAGGAUUCCCUCAGUAACGGCGAGUGAAGCGGGAAGAGCUCAAAUUUGAAAUCUUCAAGGUUCUACCUUGACGAAUUGUAGUUUAAAGAAGUGUUUUCUGUUGGAGUUUUGGUAAAAGUUCUUUGGAAUAGGACAUCAUAGAGGGUGAGAAUCCCGUAUUUGACCAUUAUUUCCAGCUUUGUGAUACACUUUCAAAGAGUCGGAUUGUUUGGGAAUGCAGUCCAAAAUGGGUGGUAAAUUUCAUCUAAAGCUAAAUAUUGGCGAGAGACCGAUAGCGAACAAGUACCGUGAGGGAAAGAUGAAAAGAACUUUGAAAAGAGAGUUAAACAGUACGUGAAAUUGUCAAAAGGGAAGCGUUUGACACCAGUGUUGUUUUCUCGAAAAUCAAUUAAAAAAGGCAGGAUUUUGUGUUGUAUUGACUUUAUCAGCUUUCUGCACUCUUUUCUUGUCUUUUUUAAUGCACUUUUCGUUUAACAAGUUCAACAUCAAUUUCUUUUGUUGUAAAAGGGUCAUUGGAAGGUGGCUUUCUUUUCGGAGAAAGUGUUUAUAGUCCUUUGGCCUCUGCAAUCGGAGAGAUUGAGGUCUGCAGCGUAGAUCCUUCGGGGUUAGAUACAUUUGUGCUAAGUUAUAGCCUUUCAUAGACAACUUGUUGACUAUGAUCAGUCAUGUAGCUUACUCGCUUAUGCUAUUUUACCUACGCUUAGGAUGUUGAAGUCAUCGUAUCGCGC
rnacentral:rRNA from 1 species